GGUGGUGGUGGUGGUGGCCACCUGCCGCCGUCUACACCAGUUUUCCCAGUAGGAAGGAGAGAGACGCUCCCAGAGCCAGACCCAGAACCAGGAAGAAGGUCAUCAGAGAGCCGACGGUCUCGCCGUCCUGACGGUGCACCAGCCUGACGGACGCACGCGGUUACAACGUUCCUCAAAUAUGAUUGUUCUUUUUCAAACAAUGCAGCUCAUUUCACAGUUCCACAACACAUUUGGUCUGAACCAUAACGAGUGAUGUAACGCUAACAAUGUGUUGCUAACGUGAGGUGAACCUUGGUCCCCACCACCGGCUCUGACUUAGCUACCUUAGCAUUGUAGAGCUAAUAUUGUGUUGCUAACAUUUGAUAAACCUUGGUCCAAAUCACCAGUUCUGACUUAGCUAUCCGUGCUAACUUAAUUUGUAAAGCUAACAAUGCGUUGCUAACGUGAGGUGAACCUUGGUCCUGAUCACCAGCUCUGACUUAUUUACCUUAGCUUGUAAAUAGAGACAACUCGCUCCACCUGACUUUACUUUGGUAAAGAGCUUGUCAGAGGACACGUGAGCGACACUCACUGUGGAGCGUAGGCCAUGCAGAGGGUUGCCAAGUAUCCAUUGGAGAAGGAGAACAGAGCCAUGAUGGCGACGAAGGCAGCGUCGUGGCUGAAGAGGACGGUGAGACGGGAGUUCUCCACGUUGCACAUCAUGAGCAGAGGGACGAAAACCAGACGAGACACCACGGUGGCAGGAAACAGGAGGCUGCCCUUCGAUGGCUGCGGCACCAACAGACAACAACAGCAGAUGAGAGAGUAUCCGAUGAUCUUGAUCACCGCCUUCAGCAUCUGAGGACGGACGGACUCACCCAUUGGACGAGAGACGGCGUGCCGCGGCCGGCCAGGUCCAUGGCGUUAAAAACGAUGAAGCAGCAUGUACAGGUGAAAAAGUCCUUGACCUUCUUGAACACUCCCAGGACCGACGAGCGCUCCCGACCCUCCUGUGGCUCACCGAGGAACUUCCCGUUGGCUUCAAGGUCUUUGCCGUUCAAGAUCUUUUUGUCUUCAAAAAGAAAAGAAAAAGGAAAUAAUGAGCGUGUCAGUCACUUGGUUUUAUAACUUGAGCGGUCGAGAUCGGACGACUCGCUCACACGAUAACCGGCGUGUCGCAGAAUCAGACCUGAGCUGCCGAGGAGUUCCUGCGACGCUUCUGAACGGCUCCUGUUCAGUGUCAGAGUGUGGUACCUCCUCCUCACCAGGUGGGGCAGCAGCAGGUAGCACAGCAGAGUCCCCAGAGUGGCCACACACGGAGUGAUGAAGUAUCCCAACGCAGCCAAGCUCUUCUCCGCGUCACCUGCAGCGGCACGGAGACGCCGCCUUGUUAUUCAAAGUAUAAAAUCGAGCUGUAACUUACACAAGAUGGAGGAGAGCAUGGCGACGGCAGCGAAGAUCCCGGCCAGACCCUGACCACUCAUGAACAGAGUGUUGUAACGAUGAGGGAACAGGCCGACCACGCCGAACAGACUACCCUGCAGCACCGCACUGCACACUGCGCACACAAGUUAUGAUGUUGUCAACCACAUGGUUAUUCCGACAGGUUUAUGGUUGAGCAGUAAAAGCAGCACAAAGUUUCCCUACAUGUGAAAAAGGAACAUUUCAGGUUUUUCUGCUUUGUCUGUUAUUUUAACAAACUCCUCGACUCACUGUUGAUGAACCAGAUGCUCGUCAUAGUGACGGAGAAGAAUGUGUCCGGCUGCAUCGGGACCGAGACCAGAGCGGCAGUGAGGGCGAAGAUGAUGAAGAUGGUGAUGAGGCUGAAUACCACCCUGACGCGUUCCCUCACCCUGCAGAGAGAGAGAGAGAGGAGAGAAUACUCACCAUCAACCAUCAGAAGUUCAUUCAAGUUUAAUGGCUUGAAGCUCGUAGCAGAGUCACUAACUCACCACUGAUACAGGAAGGAGUUGAGCAGCGUGAAGAGGAGCAGGGGCAGCUGGGAGAGCAAGGCCAUCCAGCUGUCAAAGUUGUAGUCUGUAGUGGUGCCGCCACCUGAUGUGCCGUUAGAGGUGAUGUUAAGAACCGCGAGGCGCUCGUUGAAAUACUUUAAACAAGAGGAGGGAAAACAUUUUACAGAUUCAGGCGAAGUUCACACAGUUGGAUGUGAAUAAUCUGAUCUCUCCACUGUUUCAUCUUGUUCUGAAACCAAAGUGUCUCACAAUGACACAUGACUGACUGACGCCUCCUCAGUAGCAUGAAGGUGUGAAACCUGAGUGGCUGUGAUGAAGAAGUUCCAGGGCAGCAGAGUUCCCAGACCAAGAGCAAAGAAGAUGAGGGCAACCGCCUGACCACUGUGGAAACAUAACAUGUCGAUCACCUGAACGAGUUCCAACCAACCAACCAACGACCAACCAACCAAAUCACCAACUAACCAACCAAUCAAACCACCAACCAACGACCAACCAACCAACCAAAUCACCAACUAACCAACCAACAACAAACCAACGACCA